rnacentral:tRNA from 1 species
GUCCGCGUAGCUCAACUGGAUAGAGCGUUGGCCUCCGAAGCCAAAGGUUGCAGGUUCGACUCCCGCCGCGGACG